ACAUACGAUCAUAGACUCAAGAGAAUUGGGCAUCCCGUCCGCUCUGCCAUACACAAGCUUGAGAUCGGUGGAUUAGUAGUUGGGUGGGUGACCACCAGCGAAUACCCACUGUUGUAUGUU
rfam:Pseudogymnoascus pannorum VKM F-4520 (FW-2644) contig_1138, whole genome shotgun sequence.